UACGUAUGUCGCAAGCGUUAUCCGGAUUUAUUGGGCGUAAAGCGCGUCUAGGCGGUUUGGUAAGUCUGAUGUGAAAAUGCGGGGCUCAACUCCGUAUUGCGUUGGAAACUGCUAAACUAGAGUACUGGAGAGGUGGGCGGAACUACAAGUGUAGAGGUGAAAUUCGUAGAUAUUUGUAGGAAUGCCGAUGGGGAAGCCAGCCCACUGGACAGAUACUGACGCUAAAGCGCGAAAGCGUGGGUAGCAAACAGG
rnacentral:rRNA from 1 species